rnacentral:tRNA from 1 species
GUUUCCGUAGUGUAGUGGUUAUCACGUCUGUUUUACACGCAGAAGGUCCCCAGUUCGA